CCUACGGGAGGCAGCAGUGAGGAAUAUUGGUCAAUGGACGAGAGUCUGAACCAGCCAAGUAGCGUGAAGGAUGACUGCCCUAUGGGUUGUAAACUUCUUUUAUAUGGGAAUAAAAUGUUCCACGUGUGGGAUUUUGUAUGUACCAUAUGAAUAAGGAUCGGCUAACUCCGUGCCAGCAGCCGCGGUAAUACGGAGGUUCCGAGCGUUAUCCGGAUUUAUUGGGUUUAAGGGGAGCGUAGGUGGAUUGUUAAGUAAGUGGUGAAAGUUUGCGGCUCAAACGUAAAAUUGCAGUUGAAACUGGCAGUCUGGAGUACAGUAGAGGUGGGCGGAAUUCGUGGUGUAGCGGUGAAAUGCUUAGAUAUCACGAAGAACGCCGAUUGCGAAGGCAGCUCACUGGACUGCAACUGACACUGAGGCGCGAAAGUGUGGGUAUCAAACAGGAUUAGAUACCCUUGUAGUC
rnacentral:rRNA from 1 species